UACAGAGGUCUCAAGCGUUGUUCGGAUUCAUUGGGCGUAAAGGGUGCGUAGGCGGCGCGGUAAGUCGGGUGUGAAAUCUCGGAGCUUAACUCCGAAACUGCAUUCGAUACUACCGUGCUUGAGGACUGGAGAGGAGACUGGAAUUUACGGUGUAGCGGUGAAAUGCGUAGAUAUCGAGAGGAACACCAGUGGCGAAGGCGAGUCUCUGGACAUUUCCUAACGCUGAGGCACGAAAGCCAGGGGAGCAAACGGG
rnacentral:rRNA from 1 species